ensembl:lncRNA
UAACAUACCGCUCUGUAACAUAACGCUCUGUAACAUAACGCUCUGUAUAACUAACAUACCGCUCUGUAACACACUGCUCUGUAUAACAUAGCGCUCUGUAGCAGUAACAUGUUGUGUUCCUCAGACCUCCUGAAGAGCUGCUACUGUCCACUCAACCCCCAGGAGGGUGUAUUCUCGUCCAGAUCAGUGAUCGUUGCUCUGCUGGAUUAUUCCUCCAUGCUAUCUGUUUACAUUCCAGUGACAGCGGUUUUGUUUUAUUGCAUCAAACCGUCGUUGUCCGAACUCUCCCCAUGAGGUCAACCCUCCGUUGCUGGGGGUCAAGCCACCAUGUGUUGAGUAGAAUUCCAGAUGACCAGGCUCUUAAGACUAUGACAGCAUGAAGCGCAACACACCUACGGGAUCCACAAAGUCACCAUCGUCAGGUGGCCAACAUUUCUUUAAAGUCGAUGACCAUGAGACAUCCUGCCAAAUCACUGUUGCCUUCAUAUACGUACUGCUAUGUAGCCAUGCUAGUUAGCCAUGCUAUGUAGCCAUGCUAUGUACCAACGCCGCACUUGCACUGUUUGUACUUAUCUUCGUGAUGGCUAACCCUUUUCGACCAAACCCAGAAUAAUAAAGUUAUUCCACCUUAA